UACGUAGGCAGCAAGCGUUGUUCGGAGUUACUGGGCGUAAAGGGUGUGUAGGCGGUUGUUUAAGUUUGGUGUGAAAUCUCCCGGCUCAACUGGGAGGGUGCGCCGAAUACUGAAUGACUCGAGUGCGGGAGAGGAGAGUGGAAUUCCUGGUGUAGCGGUGAAAUGCGUAGAUAUCAGGAGGAACACCGGUGGUGUAGACGGCUCUCUGGACCGUAACUGACGCUGAGACACGAAAGCGUGGGUAGCAAACAGG
rnacentral:rRNA from 1 species